rnacentral:rRNA from 1 species
UACGUAGGGUGCGAGCGUUGUCCGGAAUUAUUGGGCGUAAAGGGCUCGUAGGCGGUUUGUCGCGUCGGGAGUGAAAUCCACUGGCUUAACUGGUGGCUUGCUUUCGAUACGGGCAGACUGGAGGUAUGCAGGGGAGAACGGAAUUCCUGGUAUAGCGGUGAAAUGCGCAGAUAUCAGGAGGAACACCGGUGGCGAAGGCGGUUCUCUGGGAAUGUCCUGACGCUGAGGAGCGAAAGUGUGGGGAGCGAACAGG